CAGUCAGUCACCUUUUCCUUUUAUAUAUUUAGCUUUCAUAAGGUCAUGCGGGGCUAUUCCGCCUAAAAAAAGUGACGUGUAUAAUUCAAAUCUUUGCUAUUUCACUAAAGAAAGCAAUAACAACAAAUGAGUAAGUGCAUCAUAAAAAUCAUUUAUCUGUUAAUGAUUACACUGUAUUACUUUUGUAGAAAAUCAAUGCCUAUAUGUAACAACCAGGAAUUUUUAUUUGAAUUCUGGAAAACGGCGGAAUAGCCCCGCUGCGGGGCUUUUCCGACUUUUGAUUGUAUCUCUGCCAUCUAUGAUUCUAUUUAGGUAAUACUUAGUGGUACAUAAGAAUCACAGCGGAAUACAUACUAUUCUAAGUUUUAAAAUAAGGUAGGAGGUUUCAAAUUCCUUUAAAAUCUUUUUUUGUAAAUUAUGGGGCUAUUACGCCGCGCCUCCAUACAUGCUAGUGAUGUGCCGAAUAACUCGAUAAAUUUUAAUCAGUUUCAAAUUAUUGAAUUAAAGUUUUAUCUUACUUUAACGGCUGAUAGUAGGAGUUUUAACACCAAGUACUCUUGUAGCAAUAGUCAGUGUAUUAAAAAAGCGGUGUUAAUUGUUUGUAGGAUAGUAAAAAAAAAACAAAAUUAGAUAGGUUACGUAAAAAUUAAUAUAUUUAUUAUUAAAUAUCUAAUGAGGCAAAUCAAGUAGUCUUCAGUUGUGCAACAUUCAUAGUGACAGCGAUAAACGUUCCACUCUGCUAGUAAAAGUUAAAAUGAUUAUUUUUAUUUCGCUAAUACAUUACAGUGCUCCCCAAAUAAGUAAAAAAAAAUACAUUAUAUUUUAUAAAUUUUAGAAAAUGCAAUAUUUAAUAACUGUAAAUCAGAUUGUAUG